GAGGAACCCGCUUCAUUGAUCGAUAAACCCCGAAGUAUCUUACUUAUUUUAGAAAAAAUAUUAAUUUUUUUUAUAGUUUGUAUACCAUCAUUAUCAGAUAAUUUUAUAAGAGAAUAAAAUUAUUUAAAUUAAUAUUAUUAUAAAAAAAUUAGAUCAAGGUGCGGCUUAUAAAUAAGUUAGAAGGGGUUACAAUGAAGGUUUGUUAGAUGAAUUAGUUUUAAUGAAAAAAGGCUAUAAAAGAGGAUUUGAGUGUAAUAUGAAUUUAAUAAGUUUAUAUGGGAUGAGCUCUAAAUUAUGUACACAUCGCC
rnacentral:rRNA from 1 species